UACGGGGGGGGCAAGCGUUGUUCGGAAUUACUGGGCGUAAAGGGCUCGUAGGCGGCCAACUAAGUCAGACGUGAAAUCCCUCGGCUUAACCGGGGAACUGCGUCUGAUACUGGAUGGCUUGAGAUUGGGAGAGGGAUGCGGAAUUCCAGGUGUAGCGGUGAAAUGCGUAGAUAUCGUCUGGAACGCCAAAGGUGAAAACAGACUGCUGGGAGUGUGCUGACGCUGAGACACGAAAGCCAGGGGAGCAAACGGG
rnacentral:rRNA from 1 species